CUGCCAAAAACUCAGAAAGGUCAUAUUGUAGGUCAGAAUUGCAACACAAGAUUUGUUCAAGCCUAAAAUGUUAGUCCGUAACCGUAACAUGGUGGUUGUUUGUUCACAGAUGAAAUGUCUUUUUUCUUACGAUCCUAACAAGUUACGUAUGGAUUUUCUUACGAUCCUAACGAUACGUAUAUUCAACCUUUUGGCAGCUAUCUGGAUCUAUAGUGGAGAGCCGCAGCGCAGCUUCUCUCCAACAGCACCAUGGGGAGGCGUGCUGGGCAUCGACAUAAUACAUAUUUUGGGCCUGUGACUUUCGCAAAGUGGGCGCUGCUUAUCAUGGGGCGACAUCAGCGCUCUGCUUAAUAGCUCAUAUGCAACUGGGUAAAUAUGAACCAGCCAAUGAGAAAUCAAAGGCCAGACUGUAGCAAACACCACGGUGGUAGGAGACAGGUGCAAAGGCCACCACGAAGGACUCUGGAAAACCAUAAAAAGACAACUCUCUCAACCAUGCUGACAUUAAAGAGUAAAUCUCUUGUUAAAGAGACUUCCUCUUGUUUAGCAUUGCACAUUUUUAAACAACUCCUCUUUCGUGUAUAAGUUUUAAGAUAUUCAAGAAGAAAAAAAAGGCAUGAUUCUGGCAUUUGUGAAUCCUAUUUUUUUUUUUUUACUAUUAUUUAAUAGUUAGACAGAAGAUUGAAAACCUUACAUAGACUUGUUUCUACUGUAUUAUUGACUGUAUGUUUGUUUUACUCCAUGUGUAACUCUGUGUUGUUGUAUGUGUCGAACUGCUUUGCUUUAUCUUGGCCAGGUCGCAAUUGUAAAUGAGAACUUGUUCUCAACUUGCCUACCUGGUUAAAUAAAGGUUAAAUAAAUAUAAAAAAAUAUA